rnacentral:rRNA from 1 species
UAGGGAAUCUUCCGCAAUGGACGCAAGUCUGACGGAGCAACGCCGCGUGAGUGAAGAAGGAUUUCGGUUCGUAAAACUCUGUUGUUAGAGAAGAACAGCGCAUAGAGUAACUGUUAUGCGUGUGACGGUAUCUAACCAGAAAGCCACGGCUAACUACGUGCCAGCAGCCGCGGUAAUACGUAGGUGACAAGCGUUGUCCGGAUUUAUUGGGCGUAAAGCGAGUGCAGGCGGUCAAUUAAGUCUGAUGUGAAAGCCCCCGGCUCAACCGGGGAGGUUCAUUUGACACUGGUUGACUUGAGUGCAGAAGAGGGGGGUGGAAUUCCAUGUGGAGCGGUGACAUGCGUAGAUAUAUAGAGGCCAACCAGUGGCGAGGGAAACUCUCUGGUCUGUAACUGACGAUGAGGCUCGAAAGCGUGUGUAGUAAACAGG